ensembl:lncRNA
AGGGGCAGAAAUAUGGUGGCAGCUAGUGCUAGAGUGCGCCUGCUGACUGCUGGGCCAGGGUCCCACACUCUGCAGGGCUAGCUCAUCCUCACACGGCCUUGGGGAGGGACUACUCACUUAGGACAAGGAGAGAGGGGUUUUUGAGGCAUGGGAGGAAUCAUUAACACUGCCCAAGUGCUGUUCUAGUCCAUGCUGUGUUCUAAGCACUUGGCUUCUAUUACCUUGUUGACCUGGCAUGACAGCCCAUCUUACAGAUGGCUAAACUGACAGACACGGAUGUUUGGUGGCUCACUUAGGACACACAGCCAGGGCUGGCAGGUGAGGAGAGAUGCCCUGUCCUGGAGCUGGUGCUCCUAACCCUCAUGGUGCCUGCCUCUCCAGGCAGGUGCUGGGUCUCAGUGUUUGGGGGCUGGUGCCAUCCAUUGAUUGAUUGAUUGGUAGGAGAAUGAGUCCCUUGGAUAUAGUGUCCUACUUGUCAGGGCAUGGAAGGGUUGUGUGUAUGUGUGUGGGGGACAAGGCCCACAGGAACGCAGCCCAUGAGUGGGGCUGUGGAGGACAAGUGGGACCCCUCUGUGGCAGGAGGGCAGUGGGGCUGGGAGCUUCUCAGUGGAGCAGAGUUGGAAGCUGACCUUGUGGCACAGCCAUUGGAGGUUGUCAGUUUUCCCAGGUGUGCUGGCUGCAGAGAAUCCUGGGCCCUGGUUGGAUGUCUCACAUCUCACUCCCAGUUACUAAUGAAGGAGGGAUGGCCACUUCCCAGGCCACACUGGGUGUCCCCUGUGUCUCUUCCUGUCCUUCCAUAGGGUGCCUUGCUGUGAGUGAUGAUGACCCCACUCCAUUCUCUGCAGAGGUCACCGUGUGCAACCUCUGCACCAGCCCCCGAUGCAAUGAUGAUGCCCCCUGCCCUGUUCUCUGCAGAGGUCACCAUGCACAGCUUCUUUUUUUUAUUUUUUGACAGGCAGAGUGGACAGUGAGAGAGAGAGACAGAGAGAAAGGUCUUCCUUUGCCAUUGGUUCACCCUCCAAUGGCCGCCGUGGCCAGCAUACCACGCUGAUCCGAUGGCAGGAGCCAGGUGCUUCUGGUCUCCCAUGGGGUGCAGGGCCCAAGCACUUGGGCCAUCCUCCACUGCACUCCCUGGCCACAGCAGACAGCUGGCCCAGAAGAGGGGCAACCGGGACAGAAUCCGGCGCCCCGACCGGGACUAGAACCCGGCGUGCCGGCACUGCAAGGCGGAGGAUUAGCCUAGUGAGCCGCGGUGCUGGCCACCAUGCACAGCUUCUGCACCAGCCCCCGAUGCAGUGUCUGUCGCCCCCAUGCUGUCUGCAGACAAACCGCAGCUCAGGAUUUACCAUUCUGCACAGUGCUCCAGGCCCAAGGCCGCUUCCUCGCUGGCCCUGCCUGAGGCUCUGCUCUUAGCUGUGUGUUUCUAAUUCUGGAUUCCUUUCUCUGAGGCAGUGUCCCUGCUUAACAUGGGUCUGUUUCCCUCACAGCAGUACAAUACAGAAAAUGUUCAUGGUGGAGAAACUUAGCUUCACUUGCCAGAGCCACAGGCCUUCAUUUCGUUUGCAGAUCCCGCGGCUCCCCAGGAGGGACGGUGGCCUGGCCUUGGGCCUGUGCCUGGGUGUGAUGCAUUCUCCCUCCUCUUUGUGCCUCAUGGCCUCUUCUGAUUCAGGGCUUUUCCUAGGACUUUGCUUUCUGACAUCUUGAAUGGUUCUCACUUUUGUUUUUGAGUGUGUGCCAGAAUUUCCCAGCCGGGUUGGUGUCAGUCUCAUUGUGCCUCUGCUCUGCCAUCACCAUCAACAUCACUAUUGUUGUUAUCAUUGCAGAUAAACUGUAUGGCAACUUCCUGAGCUGGAAGAUGGAAGAAACCCUCGCCCAGUUCCCCCUGCAGCCUGGGCAAGCAGCCACCUUCACUGUCACCAUCAAAGCGAGCCUGGACUUCUCCUGCCAGGAGGGUCUCCUGCAGGACCUGAGUGAUGGUAAGCGGCUCCCUCAUUUCUGAGAGCUCACCUGCUCCCAGGUGUGUGUUGUAGUCAGCUCUCUGUGGCACCUGUGGGGAGCAACUCGGACUAGACUAAGUUACUGGAAUGAAGACUUAUUCUAUGCAUCUGCUCUCCCACAAUAUGGCGCUGAGAAGGGAGAAACAGCUUCUACACAGCUGCCUCCAGUUCAACCAAUAAACUGUAGGACCUACUCCUGAUUGGAGGAGAG